GACAGAGGGGGCAAGCGUUGCUCGGAAUUACUGGGCGUAAAGGGCUCGUAGGCGGCCAACUAAGUCGGACGUGAAAUCCCUCAGCUUAACUGGGGAACUGCGUCCGAUACUGGAUGGCUUGGAUUUGGGAGAGGGAUGCGGAAUUCCAGGUGUAGCGGUGAAAUGCGCAGAUAUCAGGAGGAACACCGGUGGCGAAGGCGGAUCUCUGGGCCGAUACUGACGCUGAGGAGCGAAAGCGUGGGGAGCGAACAGG
rnacentral:rRNA from 1 species